rnacentral:rRNA from 1 species
GAUGAACGCUGGCGGCGUGGAUAAGGCAUGCAAGUCGAACGAAAUCUUUCCUGAAGAAGUUGCGAUUACAUCAAGAUGACGGAUUGAAGGAUUUAGUGGCGAACGAGUUAGUAACGCCUUGGUAACGUACCUCCGAGUCGGGCACAACGGGUCGAAAGAUCCGCUAAUUCCCGAUAGUCCCGCAAGGGUAAAGUCGCAAGACGCUUGGAGAGCGGCCUAGGUCCUAUCAGCUUGNGGCGGGGUAACGGCCCACCAAGGCUACGACGGGUAGGGGUGUGAGAGCAUGACCUCAACGACGAAACUAGAGAUACGGUUCGUACACCUACGGUGGCGAGCAGUCGAGAAUAUUCGACAAUGGGCGAAAGACCUGAUCGAGCGACGCCGCGUGCAGGAUGAAGGCCUCGGUCGU